AGAAAUGGGAAAAAGCAAGAAAGCACACGCUAAGCAGAUCUUUACCAAAGCCAUAUCUCCAUAAGCAUCCAAUCCUCCUAUUCAACUACUUCGACCAUUUCCGAGCACCUCAUAUAUUUUUCGGGGCGUCCGAAGAUUCGAUCAUUUUUGUAUGAUUUCUCUUGCACUGCCCUUUCCAAUGGGUUUAGAAGAUAAAAAUGCUUUAUUGAUUAGCCCAUAAACUGACCUAGGUAAAUCCAUGAACUCCAUUGGAUUAUUCCUUCUGACUAAGCAUAUGAACCAUGAAUCCUUUAUUGAUUAGCCCAUAAACUGACCUAGGUAAAUCCAUGAACUCCAUUGGAUCAUUCCUUCUUACUAAGCAUAUGAACCAUGAAUUGUCCCAAAGCCAUGUAAUUAUAUAAAGUUUGGGGUUAAAUUAAAGUUUGGGCACCCAAUCCAAUAGAAGUGUAUAAGUAGGCCUUUCUAUCAAUCUAUGCUUGUAAGUCAGUCUAUGCUUUUCUAAGAAAGAGAUCAUAGUGAUUGAUGCCUCUUUCAAUCUGCCGAAAUGGAACGCUUUGGCGUGUACCAAAAUGGAGAAUUUGGGUCGCUAGUUCAACUGUCCCUCGGAGACAGGGUCGAGAAGUACCAUGCAUGGUUGCCCCCCGU
rnacentral:lncRNA from 1 species